GAUGAAGAACGUAGUGAAAUGCGAUACUUGGUGUGAAUUGCAGAAUCCCGUGAACCAUCGAGUCUUUGAACGCAAGUUGCGCCCGAAGCCAUUAGGCCGAGGGCACGCCUGCCUGGGCGUCACACGUCGUUGCCCCCCCAUCUACUCCUUCGGGAUUGCGGGGGGCGGAUGAUGGCCUCCCGUGCGCCUCGUCGCGCGGUUGGCAUAAAUGCCAAGUCCUCGGCGACGCACGCCACGACAAUCGGUGGUUGCGAAACCUCGGUUGCCCGUCGUGUGCGGUCGUCGCGCAUCGAGGGCUCGAAAAAAUUGCCGGGCUCCGGCUCGGCUUUCAACGCGACCCCAGGUCAGGCGGGGUUACCCGUUGAAUUUAAGCAUAUCAAUAAGCGGAGGA
rnacentral:misc_RNA from 1 species